AUUGAACGCUGGCGGCAUGCCUAACACAUGCAAGUCGAACGGCAGCACAAUAAAGAUUUCGGUCUUUAUGGGUGGCGAGUGGCGGACGGGUGAGUAACGCGUAGGAAUCUGUCCUGGAGAGUGGGAUAACCCGAGGAAACUCGGGCUAAUACUGCAUGACAUUGAGAGAUCAAAAGCAGGGGACCGUAAGGCCUUGCGCUAUGGGGUGAGCCUACGUCGGAUUAGCUAGUUGGUGGGGUAAAGGCCUACCAAGGCGACGAUCCGUAGCUGGUCUGAGAGGAUGAGCAGACACACUGGGACUGAGACACGGCCCAGACUCCUACGGGAGGCAGCAGUGGGGAAUCUUGGACAAUGGGGGAAACCCUGAUCCAGCGAUGCCGCGUGUGUGAAGAAGGCCUUCGGGUUGUAAAGCGCUUUAGGUGGGGAAGAAAGGUAGCGAGUGAAUAACUUUCUGCUGUGACGGUACCCACAGAAUAAGCACCGGCUAACUCUGUGCCAGCCGCCGCCGUAA
rnacentral:rRNA from 1 species